rnacentral:tRNA from 1 species
GGCUAGGGAGCCCAGGUGGUGAGGGCACAUGGCUGGCAACCCUGAGGUUGCAGGUUCAAUUCCUAGGUGUGUCA